rnacentral:misc_RNA from 1 species
GAUGAAGAACGUAGCGAAAUGCGAUAAGUAGUGUGAAUUGCAGAAUUCAGUGAAUCAUCGAAUCUUUGAACGCACAUUGCGCCUCCUGGUAUUCCGGGAGGCGUGCCUGUUCGAGCGUCAUUAAAAUCACUCAAGCUUAGGUUUACCUAUUGCUUGGUCUUGGAGAUGGAAGCCAAUUUAUUGGAAUCCUCUUCGAAAUUCAAUGGCGAAGACCCUUGCUCUCCCAAGUGUAGUAAUAACUUAUGUCACUGAAGGAAGCGAGAAAUCUUCUGCCGUAACCCCCAUAUUUUCUAUGAUUGACCUCGGAUCAGGUAGGGAUACCCGCUGAACUUAAGCAUAUCAAUAAGCGGAGGA